CCUCGUCGACCUGCUGCGGGCAGAUGAAGUGGAUGUGAGUAUCGAUUCCGCCCGCGGUGACGAUCUUGCCCUCGCCGGCGAUCACGUCGGUGCAGCUGCCCACGACCAUGCCGGGCGUCACACCGCUCAUGACGUCCGGGUUCCCAGCCUUGCCGAUGCCUACGAUGUAGCCGUCCUUGAUGCCGAUAUCCGCCUUGAAGAUGCCUGUCCAGUCGACGAUGAGCGCGUUGGUCACGACCAGGUCGAGCGACUCAGCACUGGUUCGGCCGGAUGCGGAGCCCAUGCCGUCGCGCAG
rnacentral:sRNA from 1 species